AAUUUUCGUGGCCACUGCUACGGACUCGUGCUGCGCUCUUUUAGGUAUCUGCCCUUCCGUUGCAUCUAUGAUCGCAGUCGAUGGCUCGAGCGCUAUUGAGAUGGGCUUCCUUCACUUCCCUCGAGACUUCCUCUCGUCUUCCUUUCGUCCAACUCCCGCGGACCCUUAACCCCCGCGCUACAAGCUUAGCCUUCUCCUCCUCCACCAACGCCGCCGCUGCCGCCGCCGCUUCUAACUACAUCCAUCUCUCCGACGAGCAGCUCAUGGCGCAGUGCGACAUGGAUACCUUCAAGGCCUCCGGCCCCGGCGGCCAGCACCGGAACAAGCGCGAGUCCGCCGUUCGCCUCUCCCACCGACCCACCGGCAUCGUCGCCCAGGCCGUCGAGGAGCGGUCACAGCACAAAAAUCGGGCGAUGGCUCUGACCCGAUUGCGGACUUUGUUGGCUCUCAAAGUCAGGAAGCCAAUAGACCUGGAUGGAUACACACCUCCUUCAGAGCUUCUUCAGAUCCUACCUGCCAAGUCAACAAUUAGGGGAAAAGAUGUUGGUCCUCAGAUUGGUCCCAACAAUCCUAAAUUUGCUCUGGGAAUGCAGGCUUUGUUAGAUCUAAUAUUUUCUGUAGAAGGCUCCGUGUCAGAAACAGCAAAAAUGUUGGGGCUAAGCACCGGUGCUUUGUCAAGGUUGAUACUGUCAGAUGAUUCUCUUAGAGUGACAGUAAAUGAGCUGAGGACAUCAAAGCGACAUGAAAGUGCUUAUUGGAUUAUCAUUUCUUGGACCGACUAGUUGGUUGACUCCCCUUAGAACUGUCAAUCCUGAUGUCAUUUCUCCUGGACCUGUUGAAUGGGGGCCUAUAUAUGUGCGCACCAUACAUCAGACCUGGAAUGAGGCCUCUCAGGUAAUGAAGUCUACAACCUCAAACAACCAGUACAUGAGCAGGCUCAAACGACCUUCUAUCUUGUCUGCUUAUCCAUGGUGUUUUGGUGGCUGCACUGCCUCUCCUAUUGUGAUAUCGAACAGAGGUUGUGCUACAAGACUCCAAAUGCUAAUCGCCAUAUUUGUUUGUUGCAGAAGGAAUGACAUGCCAUUUUCUUCUAGGAAAUAAUAAACAACACUAUGUUGGAUCUCGAAGUUAUCGCAGUAGUGAGAUGCAGACUCCAUAUGUGAGAUGGUAUUACUUUGUUACCUUUAUUAUUAGCUGAUCAUGAGAACUCAGGAGACGAGGCUAUUGUUCUUGA